UUGGACGGCCAUAGGGGUGUGGAUCACCUGUUCCCAUUUCGAACACAGAAGUUAAGAACGCCUCCGUAUCGGUGAGUACUGCAUUACGUGGAAAAACCGGUAAGCUGUCCCUC
rnacentral:rRNA from 1 species